rnacentral:rRNA from 1 species
AUGAAUUACUUAAUUUGGAACUGUCGGGGGGUGGGGAACCGCUGGACAGUUCGUGAGGUUUGGGCCCUCUCUAAAGCCAAUUCCCCGGCUCUUUUUUUAUGUGAAACUAGACAAGCCUCAAGUAAGAUGGAGAAACUUAAAUGGAGACUAGGAUUGAAGGGUUUUGCGGUUGUUUCCAGUGAUGGUCAUUGUGGAGGUAUGGCACUCUUUUGGGAUGAAAAUCUGCAAGUGAAGGUUUUGGAUUCAUGCGCAUGGUAUAUUGAUGUGCGAGUGGUGGAUAAUGCAAAGGAUACUUCAUGGACAUCAACGUUCGUAUACAGAGAGACGCGUGUGGAGAAUCGACACAGUAUGUGGGAACAUCUAAUUAAUCUACGGUCAUUCUCUACUGAACCGUGGAUAGUUUGUGGUGAUUUCAAUGAGGCGAUGUGGCAAGAUGAGCACUUUUCAAGAGUGUAA